rnacentral:tRNA from 1 species
AGCCCUGGGGUGUGACACGUCAGAUUGCAAAUCUGAAGAAGUAGGCCAACCGCCUGCCGGGGCUU